rnacentral:rRNA from 1 species
AUUGAACGCUGGCGGCAUGCUUUACACAUGCAAGUCGAACGGCAGCGCGGGCUUCGGCCUGGCGGCGGGUGGCGAACGGGUGAGUAAUACAUCGGAACGUGCCCAGUAGUGUGGGAUAGCUCGGCGAAAGCCGGAUUAAUACCGCAUACGACCUGAGGGUGAAAGCGGGGGAUCUUCGGACCUCCGGCUAUUGGAGCAUCCGAUGGCAGAUUAGCUAGUUGGUGGGGUAAAGGCCUACCAAGGCGACGAUCUGUAGCUGGUCUGAGAGGACGACCAGCCACACUGGGACUGAGGCACGGCCCAGACUCCUACGGGAGGCAGCAGUGGGGAAUAUUGGACAAUGGGCGCAAGCCUGAUCCAGCCAUGCCGCGUGUGUGAUGAAGGCCUUCGGGUUGUAAAGCACUUUUGGCGGGAACGAAAAGGACUGGGCUAAUACCACGCUUCGAUGACGGUACCCAAAGAAUAAGCACCGGCUAACUACGUG